GGGACUCACCUUUUCAUCCUGGCUGUGUCCAGAGUCACAUUGAUCUCCCACCUCUUCUGAGAAGUGGCCUAGAAAUUCAUAAAAAGUUUCAAAACCCAACGACACCCAGAGUCAUCGUGGAGGAACAGAAAAAGUAGGUAACUUGGAGGAAAUCUUUGGUGAAGAAGGCACAUCAUUUUGCAGUUCUCUGGGGGAUGAAAACAGCCUUGAUUGAGGUCAUCACCA